GCAUCGGGGCGAGGAGCAAUCCUUGCCGCCGGCGACCGGCGCACGGCCUGAGUAACGCGUAUGCGACCUGCCCGUUGCAGGGGGAUAAUCGGGAGAAAUCCCGUCUAAUACCGCGUAACGCCGCGGGGCUGCAUGGCCCUGCGGCCAAAGGAAGCGAUUCCGGCAACGGAUGGGCAUGCGUGACAUUAGCUAGUUGGCGGGGCAACGGCCCACCAAGGCGACGAUGUCUAGGGGUUCUGAGAGGAAGGUCCCCCACACUGGUACUGAGACACGGACCAGACUCCUACGGGAGGCAGCAGUGAGGAAUAUUGGUCAAUGGGCGCGAGCCUGAACCAGCCAAGUCGCGUGAGGGAUGACGGCCCUACGGGUUGUAAACCUCUUUUGUCGGGGAGCAAAUUCCGCCACGCGUGGCGGAGUCGAGAGUACCCGAAGAAAAAGCAUCGGCUAACUCCGUGCCAGCAGCCGCGGUAAUACGGAGGAUGCGAGCGUUAUCCGGAUUUAUUGGGUUUAAAGGGUGCGUAGGCGGACUGUCAAGUCAGCGGUAAAAUACGGGGGCUCAACCUCCGCCCGCCGUUGAAACUGACGGUCUUGAGUGGGCGAGAAGUAUGCGGAAUGCGUGGUGUAGCGGUGAAAUGCAUAGAUAUCACGCAGAACUCCGAUUGCGAAGGCAGCAUACCGGCGCCCAACUGACGCUGAAGCACGAAAGCGUGGGUAUCGAACAGGAUUAGAUACCCUGGUAGUCCACGCAGUAAACGAUGAAUAC
rnacentral:rRNA from 1 species